rnacentral:rRNA from 1 species
AUGGGAUCUCCAUGCAUCGUAGACGACCGUAUCUUUUUUGCUGCUGCUACAACGGUUACUGUUGGAAAUGGGCGCACAACAAGAUUCUGGAACUCACCAUGGUUAAAUGGUUUGUGCCCCCGUGACUUAGCACCAAGCAUCUUUGCCAUUUCACGCAACAAGAAUUCCUCCAUCCAGCAAGCCCUUGCCAACAACAACUGGAUUUCUCUCAUUGACACCUCCAAUGGCUUGUCGCUCGCUCAUGUUCAGCAGUUUGCUAACCUCUGGGAGAAGAUUUCCUUGACCUCUUUGACUGAUGACAUAGAAGAUUCCAUCGUUUGGAAGUUCACCAAGGAUGGGGUGUACACUACUUCCUCAGCCUACAAGGCUCAGUUCGAGGGUCUCACUUCGUCGGAUCUUAUUCACUCGGUGUGGAAGGUUUGGGAUCCCCCACGGUGCAAGUUCUUUGCGUGGCUUGUCCUUCAAAAUAGGAUUUGGACAUCGGAUCGACUAAUAUGUCGUGGCUGGCCAAACUGUGGUGUCUGUCCUCUUUGUAAGCAAUGUCAAGAGUCGGCCGCCCAUCUCCUUUUCCAAUGCCGCUACACCACUCGCAUUUGCAAUCAUAUUCUUUCAUGGCUUGGAAUGCACCACAUCUCUACGGCAGCUUGGCAAACAGUGACUUUGGUGAGAGCAUGGUGGAACAGCAACCUUCAGAUUCGCCUUGGAUCCCCUAAGGCACUCGCCUCACUGAUGAUGCUUAUCUCAUGGGAGAUAUGGACGGAGCGUAAUUCCAGGGUCUUCAGAAACACGACCAUCCCUUCCACGGUUCUUAUCAGUAAGAUCAAAGCGGAGGUGUCUCUUUGGGCGAUGGCUGGCGCGAAGCACAUGAGUGUUGUAAUGCCGCGAGAGUAG